UCCUACGGGAGGCAGCAGUGGGGAAUAUUGCACAAUGGGGGAAACCCUGAUGCAGCGACGCCGCGUGGAGGAAGAAGGUCUUCGGAUUGUAAACUCCUGUUGUUGAGGAAGAUAAUGACGGUACUCAACAAGGAAGUGACGGCUAACUACGUGCCAGCAGCCGCGGUAAAACGUAGGUCACAAGCGUUGUCCGGAAUUACUGGGUGUAAAGGGAGCGCAGGCGGGCGAUCAAGUUGGAAGUGAAAUCCAUGGGCUCAACCCAUGAACUGCUUUCAAAACUGAUUGUCUUGAGUAGUGCAGAGGUAGGCGGAAUUCCCGGUGUAGCGGUGGAAUGCGUAGAUAUCGGGAGGAACACCAGUGGCGAAGGCGGCCUACUGGGCACCAACUGACGCUGAGGCUCGAAAGUGUGGGUAGCAAACAGGAUUAGAUACCCUGGUAGUCCACACCGUAAACGAUGAUUACUAGGUGUUGGAGGAUUGACCCCUUCAGUGCCGCAGUUAACACAAUAAGUAAUCCACCUGGGGAGUACGACCA
rnacentral:rRNA from 1 species